AGAGGACCUUGUUACAGUGCCUCUCUCCUUGCCAAUCUCUGUCAGCAUUUAGAAGUAACGAGACUUGUACCCUCCAUAAGAAUCACCUGUGUCUCACUUGGAUUGAGCAUCAGAUUGACACAACAAAAACGGAGAGAUUACUCAGGCAGAUAUGAUGAAAGAGACCUAAAGAAUAUCAUCUACAUAGUGAAGGCUGAACAAGCUACCUCAAAGCACUAUAUGGCAAAAUUAGCAGCACUAGGAGAGGAUUUCCUGAGUAAGUUCCUAACUACAACUUGCUUAAGGUCUGCUGACAUCCUAUUCUCCUUCAGUGAAGCAUGAACCAUUUCCACCAAAACUGGAUUGGAAAAAGUGAUGUGGGAAUUUUGGAAAGAGAAGAAUAAGUGAAAAGAAAUCACAAUAAGGAGCAAAAAGCUGCUGAGUUACAGCUCAUCCUAGUGGAGUCAGCAUUUCAAUGGUGACUGAAGUGAUCCUUUUACAGAGUUAUUUGUCUCAGAGCCCUCCAUGUUGGGAUCUUUUACAGCCUGCACAGAAUGGCUCAUGAAGAGCGUGACCAGGGACUCCAAGGAGUUUUGGAAAGAACCAAAGCUGCUGGGUGAAAACUAAAUGAAAAUUAUGUGCAAUGGAAAUAACAUUUCUGAAAGAUAAGUUAACACAGAAAGGUAUAUAGAUAGAUCACAGGAAGGGUGAAAUCAUCACCAGUGUACCUGCCUCAACAGACAAGGAAGAGAUUCAAAAAUUCCUUGGAAUGGUGAAUUAUGUAGAGAAAUCUGUGCCUAAUCUUGCUGUCUGAACCAGGACCCAGAGAACUUACAGUUAAAAGAUGUCCAAUGGACAUGUUGUAAAUUUUAGUGAAGAAUUUGGGAAACUGAAAUAGUUAAGAACAGGGGUGGUGGAAGCAUCCUAACAGUGGGGGAGCCACUGGUGCCCAAACCAUGGCCCUGCCCCUGCACCAUCCCUUCCCCCAAGGCCCUGCUCCCACACUGACUCUUCCCUCCCACUCUCCCUGUCACUCGUCCUUAUGGCUGGUUAAAAGUGGCCCUCCCUGUUCCGAUGCCCAUGAUUAAGAGGCCAUUGUCCUGGUACACAAAAAAUUGCGUCCCCCAGAGCAAACUAGGCAUAAAUUUGUUUGCUGGAUAGGAAAGAUUGUAUUUGGCAUAGACUUCUCACUUCCCUGAGCCCCUUCCUAGAAGAUAAUACAGCUAAACAGAU